UGCAAGUGAGACAACAUUAGUUUCAUAUAAUAAUCCAUACCUGCAGCCUAAUCAGAUUAUCUGAAGAUGCUUACUGCGAUCAAUGUGUUGUUGUUGUAUUUCCUUUUAUGUCUACAUCAAGUUGUUGUUGCUGCCUGUAAGCUGUUGUAGCACCAUUAAGGCAACACUGUCCCAGUGUGUGACCCCCACCCUCCCAGGCCCUCCUACACCGACACUUUCCAACCUGGUAACAUGUUCCUCUAGAGUGUAUCUUUGGUUGACUCUGCUUCCUGUUGAUGGAUCAAUAAGACGCUCUUACGUAAAGGUAUGGACUCACCAAGAUGCAUUAUAAGUGUACAGGAAGCCAUCAUCUUCUUUGAUUAAAUGUUGGUAUACAUCACAUACACAAAGUGCUAUGUUCAUGCCAGUAUGUGAGCCUCACAUACAGUACAUGCAGUACAGAACAGGCUCAUUUACUGCUCGAAGGCCGUAAUACACACUCCUGUGGGGUGGGGCACCCACAGUAGUGCUAGUUUCCACCGGUGUUUUUAGUAAAGGUGUGAUCAAGAAAGCAAUUAGUCAAACCAAGCUAAACGGGACAUCAAAAUUGAGGAAGUUUCAGUUACAUAAACUGCCAGUGAAGUCUAAAUUAAGGUUAAGCUAUACUUUAGAGACUACUUAAUGGCCACACUGGGAAAUACAGGACAGGAGAGAGGUGGCAUGGCAGCCAAGAGAAAGCACCACAAUGGCUCUGUACCCAUUACUGGACGUUAGCCAGCGGCCAAAACAAGGCAUCCUCACAGUUUAGCCAAGCUAACUUUGUCUUCAGAGGUGAGAAACAACCUAAACAUCUGGUCCCACAAACACAAACACUCACACAUCUCCAGAAUUGGAAAAACCUGAAAUUAUACACUGAAGAAAUUUUGCUGCUUCAUGGUGGUGUAUAACAUUUAACAGUUUUACACAUUUUAGACUGAACAGUGGUCUUAGUGUCUACUUAAUGUGGCCCGACAACUAGCCAUUUUUACACGCAACAUUUAUGACAAGGCAAAACAGACAGGAUAGAACUCAAGAUCAGCACGGCAGCUGGGAAAGAAUAGACCGAGAAUAGUCACUUACCUUGUGUUACAUUUUAAUCGCGCAACUAAUCGCAAUUUAUUAUUUUCCUAGAGCGCUUGUCUCCUUCCAGGAAAAGCUGUAAAAAAAAGAGAGAUAUUUAUCUACAUAUAAACCUACUCCAAGUAAACAGGCACAUAACUGUCUGAAUCUUCAUCUGCAGCUGUGGAAGACAUUCAGGAACACACUGGUUUGAAGACCAACAUCACUAGGCCUGUAAAUCUGUUGUACGAUUAUAUGCCACGUGUUCAGCCAUAUCUGAAUGAUUAAAUUAGAUCAAGGUACAAUGUUCAUUUGUAAUUAUUAAUAAUAAGAUUUCUUUACUAUGACUCUAAAAAUUUAGGAGGCUGAAAGGAUAGCCACCCAGAGAGGAAGACAAAAAAAA